CCUACGGGAGGCAGCAGUGAGGAAUAUUGGUCAAUGGUCGGGAGACUGAACCAGCCAAGCCGCGUGAGGGAAGAAGGUACAGAGUAUCGUAAACCUCUUUUGUCAGGGAACAAAGGCGGGGACGUGUCUACGGAUGCGUGUACCUGAAGAAACAGCAUCGGCUAACUCCGUGCCAGCAGCCGCGGUAAUACGGAGGGUGCGAGCGUUAUCCGGUUGUAUGGGGUUUCACGGGUGGGCAGUGGGUGUGUUCAGUCAGCGGGCAAAGCUCGGGGUUAAACCCAGGACCGCAGUUGAAACUGGGAGUCGCGAGUGGGAGAGAGGUAGGCGGAAUGCGCGGUGUAGCGGUGAAAUGCAUAGAUA
rnacentral:rRNA from 1 species